rnacentral:rRNA from 1 species
AUUGAACGCUGGCGGCAUGCCUUACACAUGCAAGUCGAACGGCAGCACGGGUGCUUGCACCUGGUGGCGAGUGGCGAACGGGUGAGUAAUAUAUCGGAACGUACCUUAUUGUGGGGGAUAACGCAGCGAAAGCUGUGCUAAUACCGCAUAAUCCCUAAGGGGGAAAGCGGGGGACCGUAAGGCCUCGCGCAAUUAGAGCGGCCGAUACCUGAUUAGCUAGUUGGUGAGGUAAAGGCUCACCAAGGCAACGAUCAGUAGCUGGUCUGAGAGGACGAUCAGCCACACUGGGACUGAGACACGGCCCAGACUCCUACGGGAGGCAGCAGUGGGGAAUUUUGGACAAUGGGGGCAACCCUGAUCCAGCAAUGCCGCGUGAGUGAAGAGGGCCUUCGGGUUGUAAAGCUCUUUUGUCAGGGAAGAAACAGCAGCUCUAACACAGUUUGCGAAUGACGGUACCUGAAGAAUAAGCACCGGCUAACUACGUGCCAGCAGCCGCAGUAA